CUAAACUAGUUAUUGAUGUCGUUCGAUAUAUAAUAAUUAACAGCCAUACGGAUUUCUAUGUAAAGAUUUAUUAGGUUAUUGUCCCUAAAUUGGCGGGUUAUUCCCGUUUUAUUUAAACGAAAGUCCUACCAUGUGCGACGAGGACAACCCUGAAUCUAUUUCACAAAAAAUUAGAAUCUAUAGGUCAAUCAUACAUAGAUUGAUAACGAAAAACGCC
rnacentral:lncRNA from 1 species